ACGAACGCUGGCGGCGUGCUUAACACAUGCAAGUCGAACGGUGAAGCGCCUUCCUUUUUGGUGGGUGUGGAUGAGUGGCGAACGGGUGAGUAACACGUGAGUAACCUGCCCCCUUCUUCUGGAUAACCGCAUGAAAGUGUGGCUAAUACGGGAUAUUCUGGGUCUGUCGCAUGAUGGGUCUGGGAAAGAUAUUGUUUCGGUGGGGGAUGGGCUCGCGGCCUAUCAGCUUGUUGGUGGGGUGAUGGCCUACCAAGGCGGUGACGGGUAGCCGGCCUGAGAGGGUGGACGGUCACACUGGGACUGAGACACGGCCCAGACUCCUACGGGAGGCAGCAGUGGGGAAUAUUGAACAAUGGGCGCAAGCCUGAUGCAGCGACGCCGCGUGAGGGAUGGAGGCCUGCGGGUUGUGAACCUCUUUCGCCAGUGAAGCAGGCCUGCCUCGUUUGUGGGUGGGUUGACGGUAGCUGGAUAAGAAGCGCCGGCUAACUACGUG
rnacentral:rRNA from 1 species